CGUAGGGGCGAGCGUUAUCCGGAUUCAUUGGGCGUAAAGCGCGCGUAGGCGGCCCGGCAGGCCGGGGUCGAAGCGGGGGGCUCAACCCCCCGAAGCCCCCGGAACCGUCCGCGGCUUGGGUCCGGGUAGGGGAGGGUGGAACACCCGGUGUAGCGGUGGAAUGCGCAGAUAUCGGGUGGAACACCGGUGGCGAAGGCGGCCCUCUGGGCCGAGACCGACGCUGAGGCGCGAAAGCUGGGGGAGCGAACAGGAUU
rnacentral:rRNA from 1 species